ensembl:lincRNA
GCAUUUGGUAGGCGGAGUUUGUGUGCAUUACAAAGCAAGAUAAUUCUGAAUGAAGACUUUAAACUUUACACACGCAGGGCGACUGUGGUCUGUCCUUUGUGCAGAUGAAAGAAGUGAUGAGGUUCAGGGGCGUCGCUUGCUCUCUGUUAGCGAAUGCAGCCUGUUUGAUAAGAUUUUUAGAAGAACACAUGGGAAGGAUUUAUCGGGAGCUCUUAUGAAUAUUUCAUGAGCUGGUAUACUCAGCUGAAUGAAUUCAGCGAGUGUCAGUGUGUAGCCAGCAGACUGGCUUCACCCGACAAGGAGGUUCCUGACAGAGGAAGCACUUGGGCGCAUUUUCAGAGGCACAGCCAGCCUGAUAAAGCUCCCUGUGACAGCCUGAUUUGCCAUUCUCCAGGCGUGCCGCUCUCUCUCUGAGCAGCUCCCCAGUUGGAACCGCAGCUUCUCAAAUUAAACCGAGAAGAGUUUGCAGACUCCUCAGCCUUCUCACCUGCAGCGGGGUGUCUGCUAUGUUUGAGGUUUUCGUUUUAGGCGGUGAGAGCUAGCACUUUAGACAAGACAUGACAGCAAAAAAUUCAUCAAAGGAACUUCCUGCUUCGGAACCUGACGUUUGCAUAAAGACUUUCAAGGAGCAAAUGCACUUAGAACUUGAGCUUCCGAGACUGCCAGGAAACAGACCCACGUCUCCCAAAAUCUCUCCACGAAGUUCUCCCAGGAACUCGCCCUGCUUUUUCAGAAAGUUGCUGGUGAACAAGAGCAUCCGGCAGCGGCGUCGCUUCACGGUGGCUCAUACGUGUGCUGGAAGAAGGAAGCUGGAGAUACCAGUGUUCGUCACUUCCCACUCCCACAAGGAAGGCUACAGAGAGAGAGUGGGCUGGAUGUUACAGUUCUUUGCUGCAUUAAGAAAUUAAAAUGACAGAAUAAUAGCAUUCAUCCUUAUCACAUGCCUGAAAUAAGUUCCCCGGUGAGAGAUCGUCUUACUGCAUUUGAGAGACAGAAGAUAACUGAAGUCCAAGGUAACGGAGGGGGUGGCGGGAAAUAGAAGAGUCCAGCAGUCCAAAUUCUAUCUUCCUCACUUACUAGCUCCGACAGUUUAAAAAGUUACCCAGCCCCCCCAAGCGCCUUUUCUUCGUCUGGCCUCCGUGAUCAUGGCACCUGAUCAAGUUGCUGCUAGGAGGUUGGCAGAGAUAAUGUGGGGGCAAACACUCAGCCCAGGUCUCAGCAUCCAGCAGGCACCCAAAAAAGCAUCAUUUCCUUUAAGGAUUCUGAAUGUAAGGCAGUGUGAUUCAGUCAUUUCCAGUCAGUUUAGAUUAAAAAAGACAUUUUACUGGUAUGGAAACAUUUCUCAUCCAUAAAGGAAAUAAUUUUUUAAUGAAAAGAUUGAUAACUUUGUACAGGCAGUCAAAAAGCAGAUAUCGUUGGCAACAAAAAAUAGAUUUGGUGCAUUUCUUAGAAAUCUGUGACUCUCCAGUGCCUUUCUAACUUGCAGACAUCACCAGUAGGAUGAGCCCAGUGGGCAGUGAAUGUAUUGCAGCCGUACUCAGUGCUGUAGCUGUGUACCCUGUAGUCUGUUGUGUUAACUGUUUUCUCACUGCACGAAAUUCACAUGUCCUUCCCACAAACCUGGGGUUACUAAAACAUGGGGUUAUUGUGCAUUUGUGAGUUUGGUGCUAACAUGCAUCUUUAAGGCAUCUCAUUGCAGAAGAAGGGGACAGAUAAUCAGUGCCCACGCAUUGUCACAGUAGAGACUCCCAGUGGUUUUGGAACAGAAAGAUGAGUAAGUCUGGGUCCUUUAACAAUGGUUCUUUGGAGCUUUCAAAAGAAGCCACGGAAAUUAAAGAAAACCCUUUUGAACUUUUGGGCAGCUAAAGAAUAAAACAAAACAAAAUAAAAUAAUGAAAUGUAGAAGUCAACUAAUUGGAUUUGUGGCCCUGUUGCAGUCAGUCUGUAUUAAAUCUUUGCCCAGAACUGGUUGAGCGGCUUACAUGACAGUUAUCCAAGUAGAUGGAAAAUUUCCCAAGCUCAUGAUGGUUAGCAAACAGAGGCCUCUUUUAAAGCAGUGCAGAACUCAGCGGUUUUGGGUUUCAUUGAACUGAUUUAGUGGUUUCAAUUUAUAUAGCUUUCAUAUGAAAACUCAAGGAGAACAGAGAAAUGAAACCCUCUUGUAUCACCUGAGAGUGGCUACUAUGUUAGGGGUCUCAGUUAAAUUGUCCAAGAGCCUUGUGAUUAGUUUUUUGUUGUUGUUGUUUUUUGUUUCUGAAAAACUGGAUCUCUUUCCAAAGACCAACAAAACCAUGAAAGUCAAACUCAUUAAAAGCUAAUUUCUAAUGGUAGUGAGAGGAGGAAAUCAUUUAAUCUCUUUUUUAAUGCGCAGAAACCUUUGGCAGUAGUUCACCUAAACAACAGCAAAGGAUCAGACAGAACCAAAACCCAAUGGGCAAUGAUUCUGUGUUCCAUGGCAAAGCAAGAAUUUUGUUUUUCUUUUGAAGUAAUCUUGACGCAAAUGAGAAAAUUAGGGUGGCAUCCUCAGUUGCAACUAGUGAGGGACUGUGCUCAGUGAGGACUAAAGUUGUAAUUUUGAGAUUAAAUCUUAUUUUCCAGAGGGCACUGAAAAUCACUGAAUAUCUAUCAUGUUUUGCAGUAAGUGUCUUCUGUGUACUUUCCCAUCUUGUUUUCUUAGCACUUCUAUGGGUCAGAAUUAUUUUAACCUCACUGUAGUUUCUGGAGAGCUGGACCCAAAGAGGCUAGUUUCUUUCUGAAGGUUACAUGAUAGGGAAAAGUUGGAUCCAAGACCAG